GAGACUUCUAAUGAGGCUGAUUCAUAUCAUGAUGUAUUUUACAAGCUAUUCUCAGCAGAUUCGCUGCAAUAUGUCAUUCUUUAUGUACCAUGAGAGAUACAUGAGCACACAAGCUUGAGAAGGGUGGGGAAGUCUCUCUGAGAAACAGACGAGUUUUGCACCUCGUGCUGAGGAAGGAAAGAAUUGGAAGUUCACAUCAGCUAUUGCUUCCAAGUCCUCCAGACCUCAGGUCAGCUGCGAGCUCCACUCCAAUAAACGUGAACAUUACAAGAGCUGUGUCUUAAAACUUAUUUCCAAGGAAGUGUCUCAUUUUAUUGCAGCACAAAAAAAAGAGACUCCAAGGUAAUAUUUACUUUGCUUUACAUUUCAUAAAAAAAAGAAGACUGUAAUUUCAUGGAGGCUCUAACAGGAAUUCCUCUUUCCAUCCAAGCGGAAGAAAUUGUGUUCAGGACCUUUCCCCGAGGGCUCAAGGAAAGCACUUGAACAUGGAAACUCCCACUCCACUUUAUUUGUGAGUUAGCCCUGCAGGAGGAUGAGGCAGGAAUUGAGACGCUAUAAGUGGACUAAGUGGCCAAAGCCUGUGACAUUAAGGAGUAGGAAAGGAUGCUGAGAGGAUAAUCUCAGAGAUGCAGCUCUCCAGCUGAUGAAAAUCAGAAGAGCCAGAUAAUCACUGAGAGGGAUUCCCACCUAGAAAGAAGGCAAUUGCAGGGGCUUUAAGAAAAAGGGUGCAGUAGUUGCUCCAGUUCUGCCUGUCAUUCCUGCACCACUGCCUUUCCAAGCACUGUCUCUUAAGAUGCUGGAGGAGGGGCUGAGGCCCUUUUAAUGAAGUGAAAGGAUGAGCGGGAGGCUGACCAGAACAGCAGUGGAAAGAGCAAAGACACAUGCUGAGAGCCCUGUGCAUGGGGAAACCAGAGCCGCAGCUUGUUCCAGACCCCGGAGCCUCUGAAGCACAGAUGUCUCCAGGAAAUCUUCACGCUUCACCCCAACAGAGCUCUGGCCAGGAAAAGAAUCUCCUUGGUCUAUUUUAAGUUGUAAAAGGAAAGAAUAUGAGACUCUUCCUAAAUUCUUGAAACCGGUAUCUGGGCCUCUGGGAAUGAAGAAAGACUCUGACUGUGACUGCAUUUAGGGAGUAGGUCUGGCAAUUUUCAGGCCUAAUGAAUUUUCCAAGUCCCAGUAAAAAGGGAAGCUGCCUACAACUCUCCCUACAAGCUUCCAGACCUUCUGGCUCCUCAAAGUUCAGCAGAGCUUUCCAUUGUGGUGCCUCUUUGUGUAAUCCAUGAGUGUUGAACAUCUGGGAAUCAUCUUCUGUUUUCCGACAACUAUGAAGACUCUCAUACUUUGAGUAAGCUCUGCAAAGUUCAUUGUCCUGCCCAGCAGGUUUGUAAACUUUGUCAAAAGAACCAAGCAGAUGUUCUCCUGGGUCACUGGACAUCCAACUUUCUUACCUGCUUUGGAUGGGAAGUCACAUCAGUUUCAAUCUCUCCUACAUGGCUUUUGUAUGUAACGGCCUACAUUAAUUUGGUCAGCUUACACUAAGACACUCAGAAAAGCCAGGAAGCAUUCCAUUUCCACGAUAAAAAUAAAUGUUCAAGAUACUUCUUAGAAAUAUGCAUACAUUUUAAAAAUAAACCACACCAAAGAAAGUAAACAAAGCAAAAGCCUCUGCUAUUUUAUGAGACCAAUUUCAUUUCAAAGUGAAUUCAGACCUAUGACUUUGGUUAUGUCUGCUCUGGAACUUGAUAUCUGCCAGCAAGUCAGCAUCAGACAAAAUUUCCUGUGUGUUCAGGGAGAACCUGCAAGUGCAACUUCAUUCAGAGCACCAGAGUAACUCUGCAUCUUUCCCUGAGUGUGCAACAACCUCAGUCCUCUCCUACUGUUAUGUGUGCAUGCUCCAGCUAUGCGGACACAAAGUGAGUGUGCAAACACAUUGCACACUGAUAGUCCUUGAGGGUGCCCUCUGCAUCCCAUACUGACACAAGAAAUCCCUGUGAAGCAGGGAUACUAAGGCAAAAACAGACCUGUAGGAUUUGAAGGGGAGUUGUGCAUUCUCACCACCUUGUUUAACAGGGUCAAAGACUGUAUUUAAAAAAAAAAAGAAAAAGAAAGAAAUCAUAUUCUCAUUAGGGUCUGCAGGCUUGGCUUGCCUAAGAACUGAAAUAACUUACUGCACUGAAGUUAGACUUGGAUUGCAAACAUAGGGGAAUACUUAAACCCACGCUUGUAUUUCACAUACUUCACAGGUUCUGAAUACUAUGAAUAUCAACUUUGAAUUGCUGUUGCACUAGACAGCAGACCUGACCAGACAGUUGCAAACACACCUGAGUAACACAGCUUCAACUCUGAGUUUAACACGAAUAAGUCACCUGAGUCAAAUUUAUUCACGUGUCUUUUUAAAGGCUCCAGUUCUCUGCUCAGGAGCAAAGUGCUGACACUCUUACUAAAAAGACAAUUCAGCUGGUCACAAACAUCAGUGACUAUAUUUGCAUCUGCCAUCACAAAUAUAUUUUGGUUUUAGAUGGGGGAGAAAAGAAAACAAACACAACAUUUUCUGGUUAAACAGAAACAGAGUAUGGUAUCACUGAGACUUUCUAAAGGAGAGUUUAUUUAAUUUAUUCUUCUGUACACAUAGCUAGUUUGCUAGGAUAUUAUAACUCAACUCAUUUCUCUGGUGACCCAUGGCAACCUCUGGAUCAAAAGGAUUACUCGUGACUCAUAACUUACCUUGCCUAAAUAUAAAUAUAGGGCUUUAGGUUAAGUAAUCUAGGCCUUAAUCAAUAAAACAUUUAAAGUGACAGUACAAGGAGGGAUUUCAAAAGUUGUGCUAUUUUAAUAUUAACUCCUAAUACCUGAAUUUCUGGGGCUGUUCUUUUCUGGUUUUAACAGAGAUGCCCCACAUCAAGGAUUUUCCAUGCAUUUUGUACGCACAAGUACAGCUGCACACAGUUUGAAUGUUCUCCUGUUCCAUAGCAGACAUAUGCUCAUUUUCCCUCACAGGAAAUCCAAGCAAUUGCCCCUGUGUGGAAUACCACAAUUAGGUGACCAUAAUUGCAUACCUAAUGAGCUUGUACAUGUUUUGAGUGCCAGUUUCUCAGAUGUGGCCACCUAAAUGGGUAUCUAAAAUCUCACUUUUGGGUGGUGAGGUUGACAAAAAACGUAUGAAAGUCUUAUUUCAUAUACUUAAAUUGGACCAUUUAAAUGCCCAAUACUUUCUUAAGUGCCUGCAUUUCAAUAUCAUGUCUUAAGUGCAAAUCGCCCAACCUUGUGGGCUAGCAUUGGCAACCAGAUGUUGAGAAAAUACAAAUUGAAUAAAAUACGACUCUUUCAAAAGAAGACUGGAAACUUUCCAAAUAACUGCAGGGAUGUAAGGUUACGAAAUUGUUUCUUCUCAGCCUGGGAAAUCACAGGGUCAUUCCUGUUAGUAGCCACAGCAGUGGGUUGAGGAAAGCAGAUCGUCUUGGCCAGCCCACAGUGCCAACCCAAACCCUCUGUAUCCAGAUGAGCAGAGGGCUGAGCACAGGACAAGGACUCCGCACUCCCAAGUAAUACAGCUUCUACAACCCAUACGUUCUCCCUUCUUUUCCUGACUGAACUCAUGGAUGUUUGUUACAGCACUUUGGAAAGCUGUACUAAGACCAGUGAGUAUGGCCACCCCAAGGGUAGUAGAGCUGUACAUAGUGACAACAAGCUGGAGUCUUAGAUACCCAAAGCAUUUUAUGUUUUUUGUACAGCUUAGCUAGCCUGGGGCAAGGAAUGAAAUGCAGCAUGGUGUAGACCACAGCAAUUUCAAAGUGUACAGGCACAAAUAGAUUAUUACACUUUAUAUGAUGUAAAAUGACUUUCUGACCAAGAAGGAAGUCAAGAUAUUGAUAAGAAGCUGGUUUUAUCUGGAAUUAUUUUGGUAUUACUGACUAGCUAACACUCUGUAAACAAAUAUCAACUACGCUUUCUGUUGUCUGUAGUUCCACUGAUUUCAGUGGUGAAGGUCUGGGCUAAUAAACUUUCCUCAGAGCUUGAAUAGUCCAAUUUAGGAAUAGGUGGAAAUGCUAGUUUCAGUUACUAAAUAACUGCAUAUUUUCUUUCUGAGGGAAAGAGCAGGAUUUGUAUCUGGCUUUUAUUCUUGCCCAGGGUAAUGGAAAAGAGCAGAUUAAUUGCAGCUUUAGAAACCCUUCCAUGAGUUCUUUAGUAUGAAUUAUUUUAUAUAAUUCACAGAGAAGGUGACAUGAUUUACAUCAAUAUAUACAGUUAAAUUGUUCUAUAUUGUAAACCAUUAGCAAAGAAGGAUGAAGGGCUUAUGAAGAGGAGUGGAGAGACUAUAAUGUUAUGACAGAAUGAAAAAUUUCUGGGCAUGCAAGAAGACAUCACACUGUUUCCAUUGGAAGAUAGUUGUGUAUGUUUCCUACAGCAACUAUAAGAUCUUUGGCCUGUGCACUGUAGACUAUUCUCUGUUUAUUUUCAUUAUAUACCAGAACCUUUUUUACAGAAGAGCAGAGCAGACUGUACUUCAACUCCUAAAUUUGGGGGAGGAGGAAGUUCCACAAGGGUGUUAUGUGGCAGAGGGAUAUAACUCACAAUAAAUUGGUGUUAUCCGGUCACAUUGCUCAUCCAAGUCCUCAGUAAGGCAAGAAAAAUAUUUCUUACUGCACGGCUGGUUCUUGCAGAGGCAUGAAGAGCCGCUGCCCCAUGUUUCCAUUCCCAAAUGAAGGAGAAAUGUCCUCAGUGUCAGCACACAGGGCUUCAUUCAGAGCUGCUGGGAUGUGAAACCCUGAGUUGAGGGAGCAAGCGAGAGCAGAGGCCUCUUCCUCCAUCAAGCAUGGGAGCUUGCAGUGGGUGGGUUUCAUGCUGGAGGCUUCCACCGGAGGCUAUGAGUGGAUAAAAGAGUACAGCAAACCCCAACCCAAGUGGUUUACGCUGAGAAACAGAACUCGCUCUGAAGAAAAGGGUUGGGAACCCAGAUGGCACUGAGGGAAGAAGAGAGAAACUCUCUUAUUGUUGACACAGUUUAUCCUUCUCAGAAUAUAGUUUUGUUGUCCACUAUAAGCUGUAGUUCACCAUAAGGGAAAGGAGCACUUUCCAAGCCAUUACAGGACUCCUGAUUCUCUCUUCAGUUUGGUAGUGGCUUCAGCAUUGCAAGCUUUCUUUUUGGUGCUGAGUAUGCCUGAAGAAAAAUGAUCAACCCAACUCUUAAUCAUUCCUACAACUGUGUUUCAAGAAACAUUCUUGUUUUCUAAAAGGUGUUCAUUUUUUUCCCCUAGGGACCCAUUUAACUUUCCUUUCUAAUCUCCUAAUGAUCUGGAAUAAGGUCUUUAGUUGCUUUGCUUGUUGUGAAACAGCUUGGGGAGAUAGCUCCUAGUCCAUGUUAACCACACUUCAAAUACUCUUUGUAUGACUGAUGCAAAGCCAUAAUCUCCCAAAGCAAGUUUAUAACCAUUUUAACAACCAAGACUUAAGGAGGUUAUUGCAGGAUGGGCAGGGAGAGAGAGGUGAAGAACUGACCAAGGAAGCACAGUUCAGUUUGUCUUCCAAACAGCUCCAUAUCUCUUACAGCUUUACAAGGAUGAAGUGAUUGAUGAACAAACAAGAGGGCCUAAUCUCAAGUAAAGGAGAAGGGGGGAGGGGAGUAUUCUGACCAGCAGCCUUCUUCUGGAAGGUCAUACAAGCACAUUGCUAUUUCUUUGCAGUGAAGCAAAUGACUGAGUUUCAUAGGACUCAGAACCUUCAAACAGAAGUGAAACAUACCCUUGGGAUAAUGAAUUUUACAAGCUGUGAGGUCUGAAUGCACACACGUAGCAGCUGUGUGCUGUCCUUGGGGACAUCAAUGGAGAGUGUAAAAAAGAGGUAAAAACUUUGUAUUUUAACACCGAGGAAUAUAUUCCAUGAAGCUGUUCCUCAGUCAAAGUCUAUCUCUGACUUUUCUCUUUGGAUCUGCCUUUUAGGAAGAGAAACACUGCAUAUAUCAGGGACAGAAUACAGAUUUGGAUUUAAAAUUAAGAUGAUUUCAACAGCCCUUCAAAGAAGUCUCUCAAGAACAUAGUAAAACACACAGUCUUGUACACCAACAAAACUGCUUUGAGAGUACCUUCAUUUUUGACUGCUUUCUAUUUAUUCAAUUUCUUUUAAGUAAGCCUCAAUUAGUUUGGAGAUUCAAAUGUGGAGAAGAAGUAAGGGAAGCAAGAAGCUCAGCCCACCAAAUUGUGGCUCACUAGCAGAAUUUUCACAGCUUUAAAACAGUCUUCCUCCACAGGGCGCAGUGCUUCCGCCUAAACCUGCUUGUGAGAAUUUAUUAUCCCUGUGUGCAAGUCUUUGAAACCAGGAUUUUAACGGUAAUAAUUUCUCAGCAGUGAAAUUCAUGAGAGGCUGUAAUAUAAUGCCAAGUCUAUCCUAUUAUGGUUUUAAUUGGAAUAUACGUUUUAUGUGUUAUUAGAGCAAUGUUACUGUCCUCCUUAUGCUUAAUACUAUAUGAAUAGCUAAAGCCCUCUAAUGACCAUGUAAUUUAUUGUCCCUAUAGUUAUGGCAUUAAGCUACAAGUCACCUAAUACUUGCAAACAUUGUAAACUCCAAUUACAGCUACACCAGUGAUCCUUCUGUCAACUGAGCUAAAAAUGAGUCAAUGAUAAGGUUAAGCACUGAGCCACGUAACGCAGUUAUCUGGAGCUCAGCACCUGUACUACAGAGAAAUGUCCAAUAAACUAUGGUUAAAUAGUUUUACUUUGUUAUCAGAUAUAAGUAUAGCAAAUACAAUCAGCUUCCAGAAUGAUGUUGAUCACCAUCAUUCCAACAAUCUUUUAUGUAUUUGUCAGCUUUAUCCUAAUUUACUGCUAACAGUCAAUCACUGCUUCUCAAGAACCUGAGAGAUUUCACAGACACCAGGUUGGAUUCUGGCUACCCCUACAGAAAAUCUUGGAGGCUCAUGAAAGUAUUGCCUGCAGCUUCUAUUCAAGAGAAGCAUUGUCUUCAAAUACCUACAUAAUGUCUUCAAAUGAUGGCUGGACUAGAUAAUCUUAAAGGUCUUUUCCAGCCUGGAUGAUUCUAUGAUUCUGUGAAAAGUACUGUAGAAAAACAUAUUAAUCUUUAAGGUUUAUUUCCUUAUGGAUUACAUGUGUGUAUAUAUAUUCUCACAAACUGUAAAUUGCAUUUGUUUUGGAGACACAAGAGACACCAAAGAGAAUUGCAGCACCAGUUGCACUGGUAAUCUUAUAAAUGUCAGUGGAAAUUCUCUCCUGGCUGAUCCGUGAUAUAUGUGUAAUUCCUCUGGAUAAGCAUUCCUUUCAAAAGAAUACAUGUAGCAAAGUGAAUACAUAAAAUGGAUAAAUCAUCCAUCCUCAUUCGUGGUGUGUGAUUAUUCACUUGUACCACGUAACAUUUCUGCAGCCCAGAAGGUGAACUAAAUCGUACUAAAGAGGAAAACAAGAAAUUGGACAUUUCAACCACACAUUUUUUAAAAGGAAUGAGCAGUCAAACUACACUUUGUGACACAUUUGAGAUUUGUGUGUGGCUUCAUACGUUUUCCCAUGACCAUCCAAAUAUUCAUGGAGAAUUAAUAACAUGGUCCUAUCUUUAGCAAGUUCCAUUCAUUCUUAUUUGUAUCUGGCUAUAAUCAGCACAGAGACCCCAAAUAUUGGACGACUGCAUUUGAUUCUUGAGUUCUUUUCUUUUUGUUUAUGUCAAAGCAAAUUAGCUGGAAGGACCCUGACGAGGAAAUCGACCAAACAGUGGAAGGUCAAGAGGGCAUUUCACUGAAAUGUAAUAUAAUAAGUACAACUUAAACAGUGACAAAUCCCAUUCACCUCUUUUGUUUUCUUGAAAUGUUUAGAAUUAUUUUUAACCGUCUUUUUAAUAAAUAAAAUUGUUCUAUUGGUUUAUCAUACAUUUGGAUUUCAUUAAUUUUAGAAUAUAUUCCAGGCAUCUAAAAUUAAACAGAUGUCAUUGGGCUCAUUUAGACCUCAAAUAACCCUUGCAACAAAACCAAUUAUUCAAGGGUCAGCUGGAAGUUGGAAUUUAAUAAUAAAGAAAAGUUUAAAAGUGAACAAAGAAAAGGAAGAAGAAGAAAAAGAAGCAGCAAUGCCAAUUCUCUGUCCACACAAUUAUUAGUGCAAAAAUAAAAAGUAGAAGAUCUAUCUUAAUAUGAG
ensembl:lncRNA